GUGCUGCUGUGUCGGGGUGGGCGUACAGAGGUUAGAUGUCAGUGCCCCCGUCUAAAUUAGGCAGCACUAACAUGUCUCCAUCCAGCGGCCGUUUGGUCCGGGAACCCUUCUCCUUGGCCUUCCCUUUUCAGAACAGGCUAUAUCGGCACAUGAUCUGCAGCUGCAUUCUGCAGAGUCUGCCUCUUGGCUACAUUCCUCCAGGACAAUAAGCACUACUAAGGAUUCAGGAGCAGAGGGCUGGCACGGGCAGACAUCCACCUUUAGAAAAGGUCCUUUGACAGCCAAGUGGAAAACGGAUUGGAGAAGGGACAUGCUUGACACAGGGAGACCAAUUAGGUUAUUCCAACAGUCCAGACGAGAGGCAGCAAAGGCCUGAAGAAGGACAUAUUUACUGGCAUCAUCACUGUGCCUCAUAUACAGAAGAGCUGUUACUAACAAGAUCAUGAUGGGUUGCUGUGUUUGAGCCUUCCUCACACAUCAAGGCUCC